UACAGAGGUCUCAAGCGUUGUUCGGAUUCAUUGGGCGUAAAGGGUGCGUAGGUGGCGGGGUAAGUCAGGUGUGAAAUCUCGAGGCUCAACCUCGAAACUGCACUUGAUACUGCCUUGCUAGAGUACUGGAGAGGAGAUUGGAAUUUACGGUGUAGCAGUGAAAUGCGUAGAUAUCGUAAGGAAGACCAGUGGCGAAGGCGAAUCUCUGGACAGUUACUGACACUGAGGCACGAAGGCCAGGGGAGCAAACGG
rnacentral:rRNA from 1 species